rnacentral:lncRNA from 1 species
GUGCCAACAACACCACCGACUGCUUACCACCUUGACUGAGACAUUUACUGGGGGAAACACUGAUUUGUAUGACAUUACAGAUGGUGAAUUCAUGAAAUCACACCCCUUAUUUUCUGCCCGGCCCUCUGCCUUACAGAUAAUCCUUUACACUGAUGACAUUGAACUUUGUAACCCACUUGGGUCUCAUGCUUCAAAGAAUAAGUUGACAAUGUUUUAUUAUACACUUGGAAACAUUAAUUCAAAAUAUAGAUCAAAACUGGCUUCGAUACGUCUACUCGCCAUUGCAAAGAGGAGCCAACUCUCUGAAUGUGGAGUUGAUGGAAUUUUGGGAAGGCUGCAUGAGGACCUAGUAAGGCUAUAUGAAGGUGUUCAAAUUAAAAUCGGGAAUGGUGAACGAGAAAUAUAUGGAGCAUUAUUUUCGAUAUGCGGGGACACUUUAGCUCAGCAUGAGCUUUGUGGUUUUAAAGAGGGUGUUGGUUUUGCUUUCAAGAAAUGUAGGCAGUGUGAAUGUACAUUUGAGGACAUGCAAUUGUAUUUUGAUGAGGAUUACUUUGAAGGAAGAACAAUAGAGAGACAUAUGCGUCAGUGUAGUGAUAUUGAGAUUGCCAAUACAGAGUCUCUUAGAAACAGUUUAAAAACUACAUUUGGGAUCAAUAGAAGGAGUAAAUUGGUAGAAUUCCCGGCUUUUAACUUGAUCCAACAAACACCCCAAGACAUCAUGCACGUAAUACUGGAAGGCAUUGCCCCAUUAGAAAUAAAGUGUGUGAUGAAACACUUAGUACUUUUAGGACAACUUGACUUGGAUGUUUUCAAUAGUGCAUUACUUGCAUUUCCCUACUCUCCACAUGAUGUCAGAGACAAACCAAGCCUUAUAAAAUACAGUACAUUAGCAUCCAGUGACAAUAAAUUAAAGCAGUCCUCAGGCCAAAUGCUUGUUCUACUUAAAAUUCUGCCAUUUCUGAUAGAUGCAGUUAAAGGCAAUGAGUACCACACACUCAUUCUUGAGCUGAUAGAGAUAGUUCAAAUUUUGUUUGCUCCUGUUAUUUGUCUACAGACUAUCAACAAAUUGAUAUCACUUAUUGAACAGCACCUAAAACAUAUGAAGAACCUUUUCCCAGAUAACAACAUCACUCCAAAGCAACAUUAUUUGAUCAAUGUGCCAUCUCAGAUUAAGCUACUGGGACCAAUGGUUCGUCAUAUGUGCAUGAGAUUUGAAUCAAAGCAUUGCUUUUUCAAACAGUGG